UACAGAGGAUGCAAGCGUUAUCCGGAAUGAUUGGGCGUAAAGCGUCUGUGGGUGGCUUUUUAAGUCCGCCGUCAAAUCCCAGGGCUCAACUCUGGACAGGCGGUGGAAACUACGAAGCUGGAGUACGGUAGGGGCAGAGGGAAUUUCCGGUGGAGCGGUGAAAUGCGUAGAGAUCGGAAAGAACACCAACGGCGAAAGCACUCUGCUGGGCCGACACUGACACUGAGGCGCGACAGCGUGGGGAGCAAACAGG
rnacentral:rRNA from 1 species